rnacentral:misc_RNA from 1 species
GAUGAAGAACGUAGCGAAAUGCGAUAAGUAAUGUGAAUUGCAGAAUUCAGUGAAUCAUCGAAUCUUUGAACGCACAUUGCGCCCGCCAGUAUUCUGGCGGGCAUGCCUGUUCGAGCGUCAUUUCAACCAUCAAGCCCCGGGUUUGUGUUGGGGACCUGCGGCUGCCGCAGGCCCUGAAAUGCAGUGGCGGGCUCGCUGUCACUCCGAGCGUAGUAGUUACAUCUCGCUCUGGGCGUGCUGCGGGUUCCGGCCGUUAAAAGCCUUAUUUACCCAAGGUUGACCUCGGAUCAGGUAGGAAGACCCGCUGAACUUAAGCAUAUCAAUAAGCGGAGGA